CCGUAGGUGAACNUGCGGAAGGAUCAUUG
rnacentral:rRNA from 1 species